UACGUAGGGUGCAAGCGUUAUCCGGAUUCACUGGGUUUAAAGGGUGCGUAGGUGGGUUGAUAAGUCAGUUGUGAAAUCCCCGAGCUUAACUUGGGAACUGCCAUUGAUACUAUUGAUCUUGAAUACCGUGGAGGUCAGCGGAAUAUGUCAUGUAGCGGUGAAAUGCUUAGAUAUGACAUAGAACACCAAUUGCGAAGGCAGCUGGCUACGCGAAUAUUGACACUGAUGCACGAAAGCGUGGGGAUCAAACAGG
rnacentral:rRNA from 1 species